UACGAAGGGGGGCUAGCGUUGCUCGGAAUCACUGGGCGUAAAGCGCACGUAGGCGGAUCUUUAAGUCAGGGGUGAAAGUCCCAAGGCUCAACCUUGGAACUGCCUUUGAUACUGAGGAUCUUGAGUUCGGGAGAGGUGAGUGGAACUGCGAGUGUAGAGGUGAAAUUCGUAGAUAUUCGCAAGAACACCAGUGGCGAAGGCGGCUCACUGGCCCGAUACUGACGCUGAGGCACGAAAGCGUGGGGAGCAACA
rnacentral:rRNA from 1 species